rnacentral:rRNA from 1 species
GACGAACGCUGGCGGCGUGCCUAAUACAUGCAAGUUGAGCGCUGAAGGUUGGUACUUGUACCAACUGGAUGAGCAGCGAACGGGUGAGUAACGCGUGGGGAAUCUGCCUUUGAGCGGGGGACAACAUUUGGAAACGAAUGCUAAUACCGCAUAAAAACUUUAAACACAAGUUUUAAGUUUGAAAGAUGCAAUUGCAUCACUCAAAGAUGAUCCCGCGUUGUAUUAGCUAGUUGGUGAGGUAAAGGCUCACCAAGGCGAUGAUACAUAGCCGACCUGGGAGGGUGAUCGGCCACAUUGGGACUGAGACACGGCCCAAACUCCUACGGGAGGCAGCAGUAGGGAAUCUUCGGCAAUGGACGAAAGUCUGACCGAGCAACGCCGCGUGAGCGAAGAAGGUUUUCGGAUCGUAAAACUCUGUUGGUAGAGAAGAACGUUGGUGAGAGUGGAAAGCUCAUCAAGUGACGGUAACUACCCAGAAAGGGACGGCUAACUACGUG